rnacentral:rRNA from 1 species
CGGACAGUGUCUGGUGGGUAGUUUGACUGGGGCGGUCUCCUCCUAAAGAGUAACGGAGGAGCACGAAGGUUGGCUAAUCCUGGUCGGACAUCAGGAGGUUAGUGCAAUGGCAUAAGCCAGCUUGACUGCGAGCGUGACGGCGCGAGCAGGUGCGAAAGCAGGUCAUAGUGAUCCGGUGGUUCUGAAUGGAAGGGCCAUCGCUCAACGGAUAAAAGGUACUCCGGGGAUAACAGGCUGAUACCGCCCAAGAGUUCAUAUCGACGGCGGUGUUUGGCACCUCGAUGUCGGCUCAUCACAUCCUGGGGCUGAAGUAGGUCCCAAGGGUAUGGCUGUUCGCCAUUUAAAGUGGUACGCGAGCUGGGUUUAGAACGUCGUGAGACAGUUCGGUCCCUAUCUGCCGUGGGCGCUGGAGAACUGAGGGGGGCUGCUCCUAGUACGAGAGGACCGGAGUGGACGCAUCACUGGUGUUCGGGUUGUCAUGCCAAUGGCACUGCCCGGUAGCUAAAUGCGGAAGAGAUAAGUGCUGAAAGCAUCUAAGCACGAAACUUGCCCCGAGAUGAGUUCUCCCUGACCCUUUAAGGGUCCUGAAGGAACGUUGAAGACGACGACGUUGAUAGGCCGGGUGUGUAAGCGCAGCGAUGCGUUGAGCUAACCGGUACUAAUGAACCGUGAGGCUUAACCUUACAACGCCGAAG